CUCUUGACAACUUUCCUUCCAACCAAACACACUAUAAAAGAAAAAGAACCAAGGAUCUUGUUCUAAUAGAUGAGUUACUACAGGUAGGUAAUGGUGUUUUUCUUCCUCAUCACCUUCAACAUCCUCCAAAGCUAUAGCUUGAGAGGUUUCCUGCUGUCUUCCUAAGUUCGAAUUUUUCGUUAAGCUCCCACCCAGAUAUCUCAAAAGAAGAGCAUGCUCUUGAUCUCCAUAUACUCUCGUAAACUCAAUGAAGUCAUCCAAAUCACUCUCGGUUACUUUAAUCAUAUUUCGAAGAGCUUGUUCAGUACAUAAUGGUGUACUCGGUUCAUACCCCAAGCAUAGGAAUUGGGUUGGUGCUACUCGAUUGGUUAUAUAUGCCUAUGAUGAAAACCACUUCGAGAUGCCUAUGAUGAAAAGAAGAAGAAAAAGAAACAAGAUUCUCCUGAAAAGAAGGAGAAACACCGCUUAUUCUCGGCGCCGCUAGUGAUAAAAGAACCGUCAGAACAUGAUUCUGAUACAAAGCAGAAAAAACUAAAGAGAAAAUCCACUUCAGAAAGCUAUGAUGAAAAGAUGAAGAAACCAUUAAUCAUUGAUGACGAGCCAGAAGAAUUCACCACUGGUAUGUAAUUGAUUCUCAACUCAACAAUAAUGUGGUUAAGGUGACUUGUCCAACUCCAAAUUGUUCUGCAAAAUUGUUGCCAAGACAUUUGCAACAUAUUUUGCCUAAAUAAUUUAUAGAUCUAUGGGAAUUGGCAAAGUAUGAGUCUAAAAUUGCAUUGGAGCAAAAGACUUAUUGUGCAUUCAAGGAUUGUUCUGUUUUGCUGGUGAAUGAUAAUGAUAAGGGAGAUGUUUUGACUAGUUGCGAGUGUCCGUCUUGUCAUCGGCUGUUCUGUGCACAGUGUAAGGUUCCAUGGCAUGCGGAGAUGAAUUGUCAGGAGUUUCAAGAUUUGAAACGCGAUAAAAAUGAAAUAGAUUUGGAUGAUAAGUUUUUGGAGUUAGCUAAAAUAAAUAAAUGGAAGAGAUGUCCAAAUUGCUCUAUCUAUGUCAAGAGAAGUAGUGGAUGUGAACACAUGAAAUGCAGGUGUAAAUGCAACUUCUGCUACCUCUGUGGGAAGAAAUGGAAGCAUGGGCAUUUAUGCAAAAAGAGAAAACAUUUUUGAUUCCACUAUUUUAGGGAUGGUUGAUGUAAUGGAGCGCGGUAUACAGGUUUUAGCUAGUCAUUGCAAAGGAGAGGAAGUUUUAACAAUUUAAAUUUUUUAAUGUUUUGAUGUUGCAAACAAUUUUAAAUUUGGUACAUGGUUUUCUAGUAAAAAAAGCAGGUGCAUGACAUUAUAUCUAUGAAGUUCUGUUUUUUA